rnacentral:rRNA from 1 species
GAUCGGAGCGGUUGAAUGCUUGCUUUCAACCACUUAGCGGCGGACGGGUGAGUAACACGUAUGCAACCUGCCUGUAAGACUGGGAUAACAUUCGGAAACGAAUGCUAAUACCAGAUACGCGAUUUCCUCGCAUGGGGAGAUCGGGAAAGACUGAUCAAUCUGUCACUUACAGAUGGGCCUGCGGCGCAUUAGCUAGUUGGUGGGGUAACGGCCUACCAAGGCGACGAUGCGUAUCCGACCUGAUAGGGUGAUCGGCCACACUGGGACUGAUACACGGCCCAUACUCCUACGGGAGGCAUCAGUAUGGAAUCUUCCGCAAUGGACGAAAGUCUGACGGAGCAACGCCGCGUGAGUGAUGAAGGCUUUCGGGUCGUAAAGCUCUGUUGCCAGGGUAAGAACACUUGAGAUAGUAACUGCUCUUAAGGUGACGGUACCUGAUAAGAAAGCCCCGGCUAACUACGUGCCAUCAGCCGCGGUAAU